AAGACUUCCCCCUCCUAUUUGAUCAUGAAACAUCCUCCAGGCCCCUUCAGAAAUGGGAUUCUUCAGUCCAAAUGUCAUAAAAGAGGCUAAGUGGCUUACUUCAACACCCAGAGUUGCGUCGCUUGUUGCAGAGAGUCCCACAGGAAGUGAUCUUGAUGAGACAACAAUCAUGCUGCAGUUUGGAGCAGCAUCUCCGCAACCAGCAGGGUCGGCAGCCAUACCUCCUCGCUGUUGGGCGUCAGAAGAGCAAGAUUGACAGCUUCUACAUCACCAUGGAUAAGCAUCUCAUCCCACGGCAGGCAAACCGCUCCCUACCUCGGGGCUUUCGACAAACUUUCCAAAACACAUUGUGUGUUUAAUUUGUCGUACGAUGCUGCGUUACUGAAUUGUUACACAUUCUUACAGACAACAGUGUAUAACAGUGAUGUGGAGAAAAUGAAGGAGUCAGUCAGAGUCAGAGACUUGAGAGCCAGACUGCUUGACCAGCUAGUACCGGUCUCACUCUCUGAGUAAGAGGCUGAAACAAUACUGACCGGUUUCAUGUGUCAGAAUUUGUAUCCCAGCAGCCAGAAGUUAAUGGUGUUAUACUGGAGCCGUUGAUAAAUGAUAUAAAAUUACUGAAAACCCAA